UUUUCCGGUUGAUCCUGCCGGACCUGACUGCUAUCGGAUUGAUACUAAGCCAUGCGAGUCAUUGUAGCAAUACAAGGCAGACGGCUCAGUAACGCGUAGUCAACCUAACCUAUGGACGGGAAUAACCUCGGGAAACUGAGAAUAAUGCCCGAUAGAACACUAUGCCUGGAAUGGUUUGUGUUCCAAAUGAUUUAUCGCCGUAGGAUGGGACUGCGGCCUAUCAGUUUGUUGGUGAGGUAAUGGCCCACCAAGACUAUUACAGGUACGGGCUCUGAGAGGAGUAGCCCGGAGGUGGGUACUGAGACACGGACCCAGGCCCUAUGGGGCGCAGCAGGCGAGAAAACUUCGCAAUGUGCGAAAGCACGACAAGGUUAAUCCGAGUGGUUUCUGCUAAAGGAACCUUUUGUCAGUCCUAGAAACACUGAUGAAUAAGGGGUGGGCAAGUUCUGGUGUCAGCCGCCGCGGUAAAACCAGCACCUCAAGUGGUCAGGAUGAUUAUUGGGCCUAAAGCAUCCGUAGCCUGCUUUGUUAGUUUUCGGUUAAAUCUGUACGCUUAACGUACAGGCUGCCGGGAAUACUGCAAAGCUAGGGAGUGGGAGAGGUAGACGGUACUCGGUAGGAAGGGGUAAAAUCCUUUGAUCUAUUGAUGACCACCUGUGGCGAAGGCGGUCUACCAGAACACGUCCAACGGUGAGGGAUGAAAGCUGGGGGAGCAAACCGGAUUAGAUACCCGGGUAGUCCCAGCUGUAAACCAUGCAAACUCAGUGAUGCAUUGGCUUGUGGCCAAUGCAGUGCUGCAGGGAAGCCGUUAAGUUUGCCGCCUGGGAAGUACGUACGCAAGUAUGAAACUUAAAGGAAUUGGCGGGGGAGCACCACAAGGGGUGAAGCCUGCGGUUCAAUUGGAGUCAACGCCGGGAAUCACUAGU
rnacentral:rRNA from 1 species